CUGUAGUGUGGUUAUCAACUUACUUUAUUAACUGAUAAUAUAUUUGAAUAGCAUUUAACUUAUCUCUAUCUAUAUAUAGGACACGUAAAAUACACAACCCUAUAGUAAGUGUGCUCGGGUGUAAAUAUAAAGGAAUGUAUGAAAAGGUAAGUUUUCAAUUGUAACUUCUAUUUGAAAGAAAGCUAAUAUAACAAAUGCAUAAUUUAUGUUCAAAUGUUAUUCUUCAUUAAGUAAGAAUAUUUUAAUGCGUAUAAUUUUAUACAGCAUCGGGAAAAAUAAAAACGUUUGGCUACUUGAUAUUCAACAUCAGCAAAAAUAAUAAUUGUUAAAGUGUAUUGUGAAACUGUGGACAGGUUGUCUUUCAGCGUUCUACUGUACCCUACCGCAGCACGGGGCGUCCAUUCGAUCCAAUUUUGUAAGUGGUCCAGAGUUUUAUGAAAGCUAUUUGAAAGGUGUGUAUGGGUGUGUAUCAGUAAUAAACCGGCUGAGUUAAAAUAAAACAGUGUCGAUCAACUAUUUUUAAAGGAUUUAUUCUCCUUGUAAUUAUAUCAUAAGCCGUUGUGCAAACUUUACUCGUAUUUGGCACAACUUUUGGGAAUUUUGGAUCCUCAAUGCUCUUCAACUUUUUACUUGUUUGGCUUUAUAAAUAUUUUGAUUUGAGCGUCACUGAUGAAUCUUAUGUAGACGAAACGCGCGUCUGGCGUACUAAAUUAUAAUCCUGGUACCUUUGAUAACUUUUACACCACUGGGCCGAUGCCUGCUGGUGGACGUUUUCGAUCCCGAGGGUAUCACCAGCCCAGUAGCAACACUCCGGGUGUUGACAUGGAAUAUCAAUAAUGUGGUCAUUUUUCUAAUUUCCUGUUUCAAAACUUUGAAUUUUCGAAACAGUAAGGAUUUUCUUAUCCCAGGCAUAGAUUACCUUAGCCGUAUUUGGCACAACUAUUUGGAAUUUUGGAUCCUCAAUGCUCUUCAACUUUUUACUUGUUUGGCUUUAUAAAUAUUUUGAUUUGAGCGUCACUGAUGAGUCUUAUGUAGACGAAACGCGCGUCUGGCGUACUAAAUUAUAAUCCUGGUACCUUUGAUAACUUUAACUGUUCGAAAGUUUAAUAAGCAAGAUCUUGGACAACUUUGGACUUAAGGGGGCUCGCGGCUCUAAAUCAUUUUUUUUAAUUUAAUAUAAGAUUUCGCUAUAUUUUUCUAUAAAAAAACUUUAUCUUAUUCUUAAUAGAAAAAUGAAAUAAAAAAAUGAGUUCACCGUUUAUUUACGCUCACAAUCUGCCUUUCAAAAGAAGCAUACAUUUUUGUUAAUGUCACUUUUUUCUGUUGAACUAAUAGGAGAAAUAGCGGUAAUAUCGAAAUAAAAAAAAAAAACUAAAUUACAGAAGUCGCUAAAAUUUUACAAUUAUACAGUUUAUGUACAGCUUAUUUGAAAACAGCAAUAAAAAAUACAGGUCACCGAUUAGUUAAAAAAGAUAUUUCAAUUUUAAUGACAAAAAAUGGCAUUUUUGCACCAAAGGGAGAUAAUUUUGACCUUUUUCAAUGAUAUCUACAUUUAAAAAGACACCUGGGGCCAACAUCAAAUAUUAUUUUGGAAUGAUUCUUGUACCAUAUGAUAAAGUAACAACUACUAAAAGAAAUUAAUAAAACUUUAAUUUUUUUCUGAAAAUCUUAUACCCGCGAGCCUCCUUAAUAGCCAAUCAAUUAUAUUAACAGCAUUAUAAGCGAUCUUCUCUGACGCCUAUAUAUUAAAAUCGUUAAGUAGCUGCUAUUUACAUGUUUAAACGACAUACUGAAAUGUCUGAAAAGUUUAUGCUAAAUAGUCAUGACAGCAUGGACAGUACUGAAUUGACAACACGCGAUUUGUCUGAACAGCUCUAAUUGCUGUUCUAUUUUAAAUCUAUAUAUAAACAAAAAGACUGAACACGACUUAACAAAUUGUUUUUCCAACUUUUCAUUAGAUGUCCAGACCAAAAGACCGUCUCAUACUUAAACCUGUUGACUAGUGUAUGAUAUUGAUGAAUAGGCAAUCAAUAAUGGAGGUUAAAUUUCUUUAUACAGAUUAAAUGCUAGUAUGUGCAUCCGCUAGAUGUAAAAAUGUACACACUCCUAAUUCAUACGAAAAUACUAUUAAAACAAAACAGAUUGGUCAAUGACAUUCCAUGAUAUUUAUGGAAAAUAAAUCGCAUGAUAUUAAUUAAGAAAUUAAAACACAAGCAGCCCCUAUCGCAAUGCCAUAUAAAGUUUUGAUUAUUGGUACCGUCUAUUUCUAUAGUAUUGGAUUUAUCUUAUGAAAGCCGACAAAAACAAUACAAUAGUUAUCAAAGGUACCAUAUGAAGUAUCAGCGAAAUAAAUAUCUACAAAUUCAUAUUAUUAAAUAUAAAGGUGUGAUGCGAUUGUGAUUGAGGAAAUUUGCCUCAUAAUGAAAACAAAUGAAUAUCUUUAUGACGUCUCAAAGUAUUAAUUUCUUUUUUUAAGAUGGCAAACUUAUCCAUAAUCAGUUAACUUACUCAUUCACAUGAGCAACGGGUCCACGGAAUCUAUAGUUAUAGUUGUAGUUGCAAUACUAUUUCUCUUUUCAUUGAUGGGAUAUUGUUGUAUUAAGGCAGCAUGUGCACGCAGAGCUUCUUCCAAUCUUAACACAAGUAUGUAAAAGUAAUUUCAAAAAGAAUACUGAAAAAGAAAAACAUUUUUUUAUUAACUAGAAAUAAAUCUGUUAUUCUGUAGAGCGAAAAUUAGAUUGUUUAAAUAAAACUUGACAGAAUGAAAUUGAUAUAAAACAAAAUUCAUAGCAUAUUCAGUUUAAAACUGUAUUGUUAUGGAUACAUAACUAUCUUUCUUUUACAAAAAUAAACCGAUUUAAUAUCAUUAUAUUUUGUACAUUAACAUUCGUUGCUCAUCAUAAAAUAUAAACAUACCACACCACUACACAGUACCGAAUAAUCAUUAUAAGCGUCUGAGAGACAAAAGUUUGAAAAGCAAAUGACAGGUAAAAACAUCAGAUUCUUCUCUGUAUGUUUCUUAAUAUAUUGUUACAUAUCAUCUUGUCAUAUUGGACUUAUAUAACAAUAAUUUAUCGUGCAAAACUUUCUAAAAUUACUACUCUUUCUUGUUUCCUAAAUUUGCUAUAGUUGAAGACACGUCAGUAUGGACCCUACCACCAGCAUAUUCUGAUUUAUCUCAGCAUCUCCCUCCAUCUUACAGUCAGGCUUGUCAUGUAAUUGACUAUACAAGAUCAGAAGACAACAUUGUUGAUGGACAGACAAACCCUAGUUUUGAGAUUCAACCUAAUGAUACCGAUUCAUAUUCGAGUUCAAGUACGAAUAAUGUUAUUAAUUUUCCAGAUGUACAGGAAAAUUAACAAGAGAAUUUGUGAAAUACAUGUAUAGUUUUCUCAAUGCAUCUUGAUUAUUUCAAGAACUUCACAAUCAAUUGUCUAACAUGAAAACGGAGAACGGAGGAAGGAAGAAGAUGAAACGGAGAACAUACUCUAAUGACCUUCGUAUAAAAUGUACAAUAGCUUAGAUGUUUUUGUGUUUUGUUAGAUUGUUCCUUUUAAAAUUGUUAUAUGAUGAUGACUGAUGUACCCA
rnacentral:lncRNA from 1 species